UACGUAGGGUGCAAGCGUUGUCCGGAAUUAUUGGGCGUAAAGAGCUCGUAGGCGGUUUGUCGCGUCUGCUGUGAAAACCCGAGGCUCAACCUCGGGCCUGCAGUGGGUACGGGCAGACUAGAGUGCGGUAGGGGAGAUUGGAAUUCCUGGUGUAGCGGUGGAAUGCGCAGAUAUCAGGAGGAACACCAAUAGCGAAGGCAGAUCUCUGGGCCGUAACUGACGCUGAGGAGCGAAAGCAUGGGGGAGCGAACAGG
rnacentral:rRNA from 1 species